rnacentral:sRNA from 1 species
AUGUUCCUAGCCGAAACGUGGGCAGAAGAUGCUAGGCUCCGACGACUUUGUGCUGAACUGAGGUUUGAUCACUGCUGGGUUGGCCCAAGUGCGGGGAAAACGGGUUGCUUAGUCCUGUUGUGGAAGAAAUCGAUUCACGUGGAUGUUGUUUCAUCAUCUCCGAAUCACAUCGACGCUUUAAUUGGUGCUGUCCUUGAUGAACAGUGGAGGUUCACGAGAGUUUAUGGCUUUGCUGAUUCGACUAGGAAACACGAAACCUGGUCCCUUCUCCGCAGCCCUCAUCGUCAGUUCUCUCUUCCUUGGAUGUGCGCCGGUGAUUUCAACGAGCUCCUUUGGUCGCACGAAAAACUCGGCCUGGGUCCUAGACAAGAUUGUAAGAUGAAAGAUUUUCGUGAUGUCUUAGAUGAAUGCGGAUUCAUGGACCUUGGUUAUGUUAGGGAUAAAUUCACUUGGCAAGGUAAGAGAGCUGGUGGCUUGGUUUUGGAAAGACUUGACAGGGCGGUUGCUUCCAAUGGAUGGUUUUCUCGCUUUCCGGGCUCCAAGGUCCAACACCUACGCACCCACUCCUUUGAUCACAAGGCUAUUCUAAUCAAACCGGAUGGUAUAACUCCGCGCCCAAAUAGGCCCUUCAAAUUCGAGCAAAUGUUGCUUAGGGAGGGUGGUUGCAGUGAGACGGUGAUUAAGGCUUGGGGGUCAUCAUCCCAGGAUGCAAAUAUGCGUCAGGUUGCUAGUAAAAUUCAAGCUUGUGGGGAUAAGCUUACAACAUGGAGCCAGCAAUCUUUUGGCAGCAUUAAACGUCUAGUUGAAAAGAAAAGUAAGCUUCUCUCAAAAGCUGAAAUUGAUGCUGCUAAUGGAAAACUCGACUAUGAGUUGGUCAAAGUACUAAAAGCAGAAGUUAACGAUCUCCUGGAUAAGGAAAGCCAAAUGUGGCAACAGCGCUCGAGGUCCCUCUUCCUUAAAUGUGGGGACCGAAACACUGGCUAUUUUCACAGCAGGGCUUCCCAUAGAUUUCGAAAGAACAGAAUUACAGGUUUGAGAGAUCCUUCUAAUCUUUGGUGCACGGAGGAUAAUGUGAUUAGAAAUAUUGCGUGUGAAUACUUCCAAGGCCUGUUUACCUCUUCCCAACCUUCGAAUUUUACCGAAAUUUUGGGGGCGGUCAAACCUUCAGUCACAAAGGAUAUGAACGCCCAGAUUCUUAAACCUUUUCAUAGGGAGGAAGUGGAGGAGGCUGUCAAACAAAUGAAAUCUAUCUCUGCCCCGAGCCCCGAUGGUAUGCCUCCCUUAUUCUAUCAAUCUUUUUGGUCUUUAAUUGGCGUGGAUAUUUGCUCUGCUGUGCUUGAUUGCCAGAAUAAUUGCAAAAUUCCUCUAGAAAUUAAUUGUACCAAUAUCACCUUGAUUCCUAAGGUUAAAUCCCCUGAGCUUAUCACAGAUUUUAGGCCGAUCAGCCUCUGUAAUGUUGUGUAUAAAAUUGUCUCAAAAGUCCUUGCCAAUAGACUUAGAGAUAUUCUCCCCGAUGUUAUAUCUGAGAACUAGAGCGCCUUUCAGGCAGGAAGGGUUAUCACUGACAAUAUCAUGAUGGCCUUUGAAACGCUCCAUUACAUGAAACAUCAUCAGCAUGGCAAGUCUAGUUUCAUGGCCUUGAAACUAGACAUGAGCAAGGCUUAUGACCGGGUGGAAUGGGCUUAUCUAGAAGCGAUUAUGGAGAGAAUGGGUUUUGAUGCUCGAUGGAUUAAUCUUAUCAUGGAAUGCAUCACAACUGUCAGCUAUUCUAUCCUCAUCAAUGGCGAACCCUCUCCGAUCAUCCACCUAUCUAGAGGCCUUCGCCAAGGUGACCCACUGUCUCCUUAUUUAUUCCUUAUAUGCUCUGAGGGUCUCCACAGCCUGCUACAACAGGCAGCUGAGGCUAGGCAAAUCAGGGGAGUGUCAAUAUGCAAAAAAGGCCCUCAGUUAACCCACCUAUUUUUUGCUGACGAUAGCGUCGUGUUUUGUAGAGCUUCUCUUGAUGAAUGCCAAAAAAUCCAAGGAUUGUUGGAGUGCUAUGAAAAGGCCUCGGGCCAGCAGCUGAAUCGCAACAAAACUGGCCUUUUUUUCAGCAAAUCUACACCUUCACUUAUCACUAAUCAGAUCAAGGCUGCCUUAGGUGUCCAAGAGAUAAAACAGUAUGAAAAGUAUCUUGGUCUUCCUUCCCUAGUAGGCAGGAAUAAGAAAGCAAGUUUACUCUACAUCAAAGAAAGGGUCGAGGCUAAGCUCCAAGGGUGGAAAGAACAGCUUCUUUCCCAAGCUGGUCGUGAAAUUCUCCUCAAAGCCGUAAUUCAGGCAAUACCCACUUUCGCCAUGAGUUGUUUCAAACUCCCGGCCUCUCUUUGCAAUGAUAUAGAGAUCUUGAUUAGGAAAUUUUGGUGGGGUCAGAGAGGCAACCAAAGGAAAAUUCAUUGGACCAAGUGGAGCUCUCUUUGUCACCCAAAAAGCCUAGGUGGUAUAGGCUUUAAAGAACUUCAGAAGUUUAAUGACGCCAUGCUAGCAAAGCAAAUUUGGCGACUGCUGGACAACAAGACCUCUCUUUUCCACAGAUUUUUUAAAGCUAAAUUCUUUCCUAACGGAUCCAUUCUUGAUGCCAAAGAAGGCAAUGGUUCUUUUGCCUGGAAGAGCAUAUUAAAAGGUAGAGAGGUGAUCAAGAAAGGUGUGCAAUGGAGAGUGGGUAAUGGGUCCUUGAUUAGGAUCUACCAUGAAAACUGGCUCCCUGAUCCUUAUAGUAGAAGUGUGGUGUCCCCAAGGGAAUUCCUUGGCGAUGAUGCUCGGGUCUCCGUCCUUAUUGAUAGUGAUCAUCGGUGCUGGUUGCAAGAUGCAAUAGACAACAUAUUCUUGCCCCACGAAGCUGCUUUGAUCCAAUCAAUUCCACUCAGCAUUAGAAGUUGUGAGGAUCAGUUUUUCUGGUCGCAUACCCCGGAUGGCUUGUACUCUGUCAGUUCGGGGUACAGACUACUCUUAGAAAAUGAAGGGAAAGAGGAGGCUUCAACAUCGGAUUUGACAGCUACCAGGAGAUUGUGGAUGGGUGUUUGGAGCUUGCGUGUCCCCAGUAGGGUCAAGACAGUAUUAUGGAGGGCUGGUUCGGACUCGCUGCCUUCAAAAGCAAAUUUAAAAAAAAGGAAAAUUGUGUCCGAUGACCUCUGUCCUGGCUGCUCGCUUGAAUGUGAGUCCACGAUGCAUGCUCUUUGGUCUUGCAGUGCUUUUACCCCGGUUUGGGCUACCAAGUUUGCAUGGCUUGUGGAGAAAACCAAUAACUGUUUGUCGCUGAUGGAUGUCAUCCAAUGCUGCCAGGAAAAUAGUGAUUGCCUUGAUCUUUUUGCCAUGAUCAUUUCUCAGUUGUGGUCCCGCAGGAAUAAGCUACAGGUAGGUGAACACGUGGCUCCUUUGGCGAAAAUAAAUGCCUUGGCUGCUGACAGCUUGUUGGAGUUUCAGUGUGCCCAGUCUCCUCCCCAGCCAUCAGUAAAGAAGGUAAUAUCUUCCAGGUGGUCUCUUCCUCCAAUGGGCUAGGCAAAAAUCAACUUCAAUGGGGCAACUUUCAAAGACAAGAAUUUAGCUGGUUUGGGUGGUGUGAUUCGUAACGACAGGGGUCUUGUCAUGGCUGCCUUUACACAAAUUAUUCCACUGCCUACAUCUGUAGAAACGAUGGAAGUGUUGGCAGCUCGCAGUGCUCUUGGUUUGGCGCUUGAACUUAGUCUGAAUCAGGUGCAACUUGAAGGGGAUUCGGAAAUAAUUUUCAAGGCUCUCUCUAAAGGUGGUAUGGACUCUUCAAGCUACGGGCAUAUCAUCAAGGACAUCAACCACCUUUCUUCGGCCUUUCAAUGCUUAACCUUCAGUCAUACACAUAGGAUAGGAAACAAAGUAGCACACUGUUUAGCAAGAUCAGCUUGUAAAUUUUCCCCUUUCCAGGUUUGGAUGGAGGAAAUUCCCCUUGAGUUUGAGUCUGUGUACUUUGCUGAUAUUCCUUAA